UUGAACGCUGGCGGCAGGCCUCACACAUGCAAGUCGAGCGGAUGAAGGGAGCUUGCUCCUGGAUUCAGCGGCGGACGGGUGAGUAAUGCCUAGGAAUCUGCCUGGUAGUGGGGGAUAACGUCCGGAAACGGGCGCUAAUACCGCAUACGUCCUGAGGGAGAAAGUGGGGGAUCUUCGGACCUCACGCUAUCAGAUGAGCCUAGGUCGGAUUAGCUAGUUGGUGGGGUAAAGGCCUACCAAGGCGACGAUCCGUAACUGGUCUGAGAGGAUGAUCAGUCACACUGGAACUGAGACACGGUCCAGACUCCUACGGGAGGCAGCAGUGGGGAAUAUUGGACAAUGGGCGAAAGCCUGAUCCAGCCAUGCCGCGUGUGUGAAGAAGGCCUUCGGAUUGUAAAGCACUUUAAGUUGGGAGGAAGGGCAGUAAGUUAAUACCUUGCUGUUUUGACGUUACCAACAGAAUAAGCACCGGCUAACUUCGUG
rnacentral:rRNA from 1 species